rnacentral:rRNA from 1 species
GCUAUACAUGCAGUCAAGGGGUUCAGCAAUGGACACCGGCGGACGGGUGCGUAACGCGUACACAACGUGCCUUUGAGCGGGGGAUAGCACCGGGAAACUGGUGGUAAGACCCCAUUGUGUUGAUUGAUGGCAUCAUUAUUCAACUAAAGGCGACACUCAAAGAUCGGUGUGCGUCCGAUUAGCUGGUUGGCGGGGUAACGGCCCACCAAGGCAUCGAUCGGUAGGGGGUGUGAGAGCAUGACCCCCCACAUGGGUACUGAGACACGGACCCAACUCCUACGGGAGGCAGCAGUAAGGAAUAUUGGACAAUGGCCGGAAGGCUGAUCCAGCCAUGCCGCGUGAAGGACGAAGGCGCUCAGCGUUGUAAACUUCUUUUGGACGGGGAUAACAGUCCCGAUUCAUCGGGACCUGAAGGUACCGUCAGAAUAAGCACCGGCUAACUCCGUGCCAGCAGCCGCGGUAAUACGGAGGGUGCGAGCGUUAUCCGGAAUCACUGGGUUUAAAGGGUGCGUAGGCGGCGAGGUAAGUCAGUUGUGAAAUUCCCCGGCUCAACCGGCGGGACUGCGAUUGAUACUGCUUUGCUUGAAACAGGUUGAGGCAGGCGGAAUGUGGCAUGUAGCGGUGAAAUGCAUAGAUAUGCCAUAGAACACCGAUUGCGAAGGCAGCUUGCUGGGCUUAGUUUGACGCUGAGGCACGAAAGCGUGGGGAGCAAACAGGAUUAGAUACCCUGGUAGUCCACGCCCUAAACGAUGUUUACUUGCUGUUCCUGCCUUGAGCGGGAGUGGCGGAGCGAAAGCGGUAAGUA